GUCCGCAGAAACGCGGCGGGGCCGGCCCUCGGCCGCCGGAGUCCAGCCCGGCGUGGCUCCGGAACCCCGCGGCCGCCCCGCCUCCGCUCCUGGAAGUGGCCGCUCGGCGGGAGCAGGCAGCCGGGGAGGCUGGCGGCUGGGGGCGGCGGCUCCGACGCCGGGGAGUCUCCGCGGGGCCUACGUCCCGAGCUGGCCAAGGCCAGGCCCCAUCUGCCCCGUCGAACCGGACAACAGGUGCCACAGGUCGGGCUCCGGAGCACGGUGUGCGGAGCCGCCAGGCUGCCUGACUGGCAGGAGUCGGCCCCGGGCCCCUCCCCAGACUCCGCUGCUGGGCUCCCUGAGCCUUGGGUCCUUCCACUGUGAAGCGGGAUGGUUGUGAGAACUGCAGGAUGAUUCAUCUCAUGAGAAUUUGAACGCUGGUGGAAAACUGUACAGAAAAUCCAGCCCGCCCUUCCAGCAGAGCCAGUAAACUCAUCUAAGUAGAUGGCUUGAGCCAGAGGCAGGAUUUGACUUCGACAUUUUCACAAUGAGAUGCUUGGGAAGAUGGAGAGAAGGGGCAUGGAUUCGGUCUGAGUUCCCUCCUCAGGCUCAGUGAACAUGGCUGAUAAUUCAGAGAAACAAUCCCGGAAUCAAAAGAAUUCUGUGGCCCUCUUGUUGGCAGCACCUUGGAAAGAAAAGAAGCUGAGGGAGGGAGACUCAAAACAAGUAGUUGGAGCAAGAACUGUUGGAGAGAUUCCUAAGCAGAGAAGAGAGGAAGACAUUCAGCUUUUUUUUUUUUUUUAAGAUUUUAUUUAUUUGACAGAGACAGCGAGAGAGGGAACACAAGCAGGGGGAGUGGAAGA